rnacentral:misc_RNA from 1 species
GUUGAAGAACGCAGCGAAAUGCGAUAAGUAAUGUGAAUUGCAGAAUUCAGUGAAUCAUCGAAUCUUUGAACGCACCUUGCACUCCUUGGUAUUCCGAGGAGUACGCCUGUUCGAGUGUUAUGAAGCUCUCAAUACGCAAUUGGCUUAAAACCUGAUUGUUGUUUUGGAUUUGAACUUUGCCGUGUUAUAACGGCUGGUUUUAAAAGUAUUAGCUGGUACUAGAACGAAUUGGUUCUACUCAACGUGAUAAUUAUCUGAUCGUUGAGGACAUUCCUUUCACGAGGAAUGGCCAUAGUAAAUUCAAUGGACUGCUUCUAAUCUGGCUUUAAUUCUUUAUUGGAUUAACCACUUUUCAAAUCUGACCUCGAAUCAGGUGGGACUACCCGCUGAACUUAAGCAUAUCAAUAAGCGGAGGA